rnacentral:misc_RNA from 1 species
GAUGAAGAACGUAGCGAAAUGCGAUAAGUAAUGUGAAUUGCAGAAUUCAGUGAAUCAUCGAAUCUUUGAACGCACCUUGCACCCUUUGGUAUUCCGAAGGGUAUGCUCGUUUGAGUGUCAUUGUACUCUCACACUUCUAAUUCCUUUCGGGAUUGGGAGCGGUGGACUUGGGUGUUGCUGCUUUAGUUGUGGCUCACCUCAAAUAAGUUAGUGCAACUCUUGGUUGGACAUAGUACGGCGUGAUAAGUGUCUUCGCCGGCGCCUCUGUAAGGAGGGUGGCCGAUCGGGAGCUCUGUGCUUCAAACCGUCUUCGGACAAUCUUUGACAACUUGACCUCAAAUCGAGUAGGACUACCCGCUGAACUUAAGAAUAUCAAUAAGCGGAGGA